rnacentral:piRNA from 1 species
UUCCUCUGCACGCGAUUUUAGGGACGC